rnacentral:rRNA from 1 species
CCUACGGGAGGCAGCAGUGGGGAAUAUUGGACAAUGGGCGAAAGCCUGAUCCAGCAAUGCCGCGUGAGUGAUGAAGGCCUUAGGGUCGUAAAGCUCUUUUACCAGGGAUGAUAAUGACAGUACCUGGAGAAUAAGCUCCGGCUAACUCCGUGCCAGCAGCCGCGGUAAUACGGAGGGAGCUAGCGUUGUUCGGAAUUACUGGGCGUAAAGCGUACGUAGGCGGUUAUUCAAGUCAGAGGUGAAAGCCCGGGGCUCAACCCCGGAACGGCCUUUGAAACUAGAUAGCUAGAGUCUUGGAGAGGUCAGUGGAAUUCCGAGUGUAGAGGUGAAAUUCGUAGAUAUUCGGAAGAACACCAGUGGCGAAGGCGACUGACUGGACAAGUACUGACGCUGAGGUACGAAAGCGUGGGGAGCAAACAGGAUUAGAUACCCUGGUAGUCCACGCCGUAAACGAUGAUAACUAGCUGUCCGGGUACUUGGUAUCUGGGUGGCGCAGCUAACGCAUUAAGUUAUCCGCCUGGGGAGUACGGGUCGCAAGAUUAAAACUUAAAGGAAAUUGACGG